AGACGGAGGGUGCAAGCGUUAAUCGGAAUUACUGGGCGUAAAGCGCUCGUAGGCGGCCUGUUAAGUCGGAUGUGAAAGCCCCGGGCUCAACCACGGAAUUGCGUUUGAAACUACUCGGCUUGAGUACAGGAGAGGAAAGCGGAAUUCCCAGUGUAGCGGUGAAAUGCGUAGAUAUCCGGAGGAACAUCAGUGGCGAAGGCGACUUCCUGGACUAACAUUGACGCUGAGGUGCGAAAGCGUGGGGAGCAAACAGGAUUAGAUACCCCAGUAGUCC
rnacentral:rRNA from 1 species